rnacentral:rRNA from 1 species
CAGGAUGAACGCUAGCUACAGGCUAACACAUGCAAGUCGGGGGGCAGCAUUGAGAUAGCUUGCUAUUCAGAUGGCGACCGGCGCACGGGUGAGUAACGCGUAUCCAACCUUCCCUAUAGUAGAGAAUAGCCCGGCGAAAGUCGGAUUAAUGCUCUAUGUUUUCCAAUGCGGACAUCUAAAAUGGAAUAAAGGUUUACCGCUAUAGGAUGGGGAUGCGUCUGAUUAGGUUGUUGGCGGGGUAACGGCCCACCAAGCCAUCGAUCAGUAGGGGUUCUGAGAGGAAGGUCCCCCACAUUGGAACUGAGACACGGUCCAAACUCCUACGGGAGGCAGCAGUGAGGAAUAUUGGUCAAUGGGCGAGAGCCUGAACCAGCCCAAGUAGCGUGCAGGAUGACGGCCCUAUGGGUUGUAAACUGCUUUUAUACGGGGAUAAAGUGAGGGACGUGUCCCUUUUUGUAGGUACCGUAUGAAUAAGGACCGGCUAAUUCCGUGCCAGCCGCCGC